rnacentral:rRNA from 1 species
ACAAGGUUUCCGUAGGUGAACCUGCGGAAGGAUCAUUACAGAACGUCACCGGAGGGGUUCACGAUGCUGGUCCCUCGGGACAAGUGCUCGCCCCUCGACUUCUAUUCCACACACCCACCCGUGCACGCUGGGGAACGUCCCUCGGGGCGUUCCACACACUUAACACAAAGUCUAACGAACGCAUGUCCAGUCGAGCUCCACGGAGCGCGAAUGAAUACAACUUUCAACAACGGAUCUCUUGGCUUUCGCAUCGAUGAAGAACGCCGCGAAAGCGCGAAACGUAAUGUGAAUUGCAGAAUUCAGUGAACCAUCGAAUCUUUGAACGCACCUUGCGCCCCUUGGUAUUCCGAGGGGCAUGCCUGUUUGAGUGUCGUGAAACCUCUCAAGCUCCGAUUUCACAAGUCGUGGCUUGGAUUUGGACGUUGCCGUCGUCGUCAGAUGAAGGCUCGUCUCUAAAUGCAUUAGCCGUUCCACUUCGGUUCCCGAUCGACCACGGUGCGAUAAUACGUCGCCGUCGGUGAGGGUUCCGUGGCCCAGGCUUACAGUCGUCCCCUCGUGGGACAAAUCACACUCUUCUGACCUCAAAUCAGGUAGGACUACCCGCUGAAC